CGUCGUCCUGGGCCGCAAGCGUUCCCGGAAGUAUCGCGAUGUUGCGUCUCUAGGUUUAGAAACUGUGCUAGUCCACUGCUUAAUAUCUAUGGUGGAAAACGCCAUAUUUUCGAAAUGGCAUAUCUCGAGUUCAAGUUUGAGGACGAAAUAACUAAAUACAUUCGGGAACAAGAAUUGGAAACGUCACUGAAAUUCAUAACAUUGAGAAGGGACAAAAGUUUUGGGCAAAAGGAUGCACAGCCUUUGGCACGGAAAAACUCAGCUGGGAGAGUAAAAGUAUCCCGUUCAAUGGUGUUCCGUUUCAAGUUGUUGGCACAAAGACGUAUGAAUGCCACCAGGGCAAAGACAGACAGACAAAAGCCAAAGAGAAAUAUGCUGCUGAAAGAGACAAGAAGGAACUUGAAGACCAUACCUUCCUACAGAAACGGAAACUGGUACAAAAUACCAAAAAGGUGGACUGCAAGGCUAUAAUAAACAUCGCCCACGUUAUCCGCUUUCCUGAUUUUAAGAUUGAGGAAAGUACAGUGUGCUCUAAAAAGGAGGCCUCCCAAACUCUGAAGGCAGCACUAAGUGAAACACCCAGCUCCGUGAAGGCAGAGGUUGUCUACUGCGUUAGGUUCCCCUCCCUCUCUGAGCACAGCUCACAUGCAGUUGUUGGCGAGGCAGCUCAUGUUAGGGAAGCUGUAGAUGCCAGGCUGAGAGAGAAGAUUGAGCAGCUGACUCUGUCUGGUGUGAGAAAGAUGACUGAAAUGAAGUGUCAUCUGAACACCUUUGUAGUGGAAGAGCUUUUCCUUGGAGAGCAGCCCCUCCACCUACUCGCAGGCGCUAUUACCCCACUGACAGUGACAUAAGAAAUGUCAUGUUUAAGACCAAGCGGGCCACCGGAGACUCCAACAUUGACCGUCCAUACGAAGGUCCAUCUGGCAGAGGAAAGAAGAGGUCCUCUAGGAAGCUGUUGCGGUUACGGAGGCAAUGUGCAGGAUAUCUUAAAGAGAUCACAGAACUCACUUAUCAUCUGGAAGAGGAACAGUACGUGACUGACCUGUCUUCACAGCUCAGAAGCGUGUUGCUGGAUAUGAAGGCCCAUGUUCCACAGGAUAAAGACCUUCCACUGACCUUUUCUCCAAGGAAGAGAAAAGCUGAGAUGGACAUGGAUCUCAUUCCAACCAAGAGUGCAUCACACCCUUUCAUAGAUGGGUUAGAACAGCACACAGAGGACAUAGUGAGUGUGGAUACAUUGUUGGCAUUGAGCCUCGGGCUGAGGACCGAGUGUGUGGGUCCUUCCACAAAUUGAGUAUAUUUUGGGUAGUGUAACUUUUAUUUCAACUAAUAUUAGCAUUUUGUCAACACAACUUGAUAAGAAGGGGGGGGGAUCAAGAGGGGAGAGCAUUCUUAGUUUUGAAUGUUGUUCUGGAGGCAGCGCUGCGGAGUGCUCACUAGCUGGCACAGUCAUAAAAUCUGAUUUUAAACCUAAUUGUUUACCACACUGCUAACCCUCAUUUCUAACCUUAAAUUUGCUUUUUGAUCUUAAUUUGUGUUUGUUUGAUUUUUGUCGACAUACAGUGUGUUCGGAAAGUUCAGACACCUUCCCCUCUUAUCCACAUUUUGUUACGUUAAACCUAAUUCUAGAAUGGAUUCAUUUGUUAUUUUUCUCAUUAAUCUACACACAAUACCCCAUGAUGACAUCACAAUACCCCAUGAUGACAUCACAAUACCCCAUGAUGACAUCACAAUACCCCAUGAUGACAUCACAAUACCCCAUGCUGACUAAGCAAAAACAGGUCUAGAAAUGUUAGCAAUUAUUUUAAUUUUGUUAAUAAAAAUGAAAUAUUACAUUUACAUAAGUAUUCAGACCCUUUACUCAGUACUUUGUUGAAGCACCUUUGGCAGCGAUUACAGCCUGGAGUCUUCUUGUGUAUGACGCCAUAAGCUUGGCACACCUGUAUUUGGGCUUUUUCUCCCAUUAUUCUCUGCAGAACCUGUCAAGCUCUGUCAGGUUUGAUGGGGAGCGUCGCUGCACAGCUAUUUUCAGGGCUCUCCAGAGAUGUUUGAUUGGGUUCAAGUCCGGGCUCUGGCUGGGCCACUCAAGGACAUUCGGAGACUUGUCCUGAAGCCACUCCUAUGUUGUCUUGGAUGUGUGCUUAGGGUCGUUCUCCUGUUGGAAGGUGAACCUUCGCUCCAGUCUGAGGUCCUGAGCGCUCUAGAGCAGGUUUUCACCAAGGAUCAAAUCAAAUUUAUUUAUAUAGCCCUUCGUACAUCAGCUGAUAUCUCAAAGUGCUGUACAGAAACCCAGCCGAAAACCCCAAACAGCAAGCAAUGCAGGUGUUGAAGCACGUUGGCUAGGAAAAACUCCCUAGAAAGGAUCUCUCUGUACUUUCGCUCAGUUCAUCUUUCCCUCGAUCCUGACUUGUCUCCUAGUCCCUGCCUCUGGAAAAACAUCUCCACAGCAUGAUGCUGCCACCACCAUACUUCACUGUAGGAAUGGUGCCAGGUUUCUUCCAGGUGUGGUGCUUGGCAUUCAGGCCAAAGACUUCAAUCUUGUUUCAUCAGACCAGAGCAUCUUGUUUCUCAUGGUCUGAGAGUCCUUUAGGUGCUCUUUGGCAAACUCCAAGCGGGCUGUCAUGAGCCUUUCACUGAGGAGUGGCUUCCAUCUGGCCACUACCAUAAAGGCCUGAUUGGCGGAGUGCUGCAGAGAUGGUUGUCCUUCUGGAAGGUUCUCCCAUCUCCACAGAGAAACUCUGGAGCUCUGUCAGAGUGACCAUCAGGUUCUUAAUCACCUCCCUGACCAAGGCCCUUCUCUCCCGAUUUCUCAGUUUGGCCGGGCGGCCAACUCUAGGAAGAGUGUUGUUGGUUCCAAAUUUCUCCCAUUUUAAGAAUAAUGGAGGCCACUGUUUUCUUGGGGACCUUCAAUGCUGCCAACAUUUUUUAGUACCCUUCCCCAGAUCUGUGCCUCGACAAAAUCAUGUCUCGGCGCUCUACAGACAAUUCCUUCAACCUCAUGGCUUGGUUUUUGCUCUGACAUGCACUGUCAACUGUAGGACCUUAUAUAGACAGGUGUGUGCUUUUCCAAAUAAUGUCCAAUCAACUGAAUUUACCACAGCUGGCCUCCAAUAAAGUUGUAGAAUGGAAACAGGAUGCACCUGAGCUCAAUUUUGAGACUCAUAGCGAAGGGUUAGAAUAUUUAUUUUUUGCCAACAUUUCUAAAAACCUGUUUUCGCUUUGUCAUUUUGUGUUAUUGUGUGUAGAUUGAAGAGGAACAAUUAUUUUGUCAAUUUUAGAGUAAGGCUGUAAUGUAACAACAUAAACAACAAAAAGUGAAGGGGUAUGAAUACUUUACGAAUUCACUGUAGCCAAUUUGCAGCUGAUCUAUCGAAGGGGAAACGGCUCUGUUUUGCCUCCAGGACAAGAAUCAUGACAAGCGUCAACCUGCUAUCUGAGGUUGGGAGGGGUCUGAAAUAUUGCCUAGCUGGCUAGCCCACCUUUUAACUCAAACGUUUUUGAAUGUGCUUAAUCAGUUUGUAUCAAAUGUGUUCAUAUGCAGCAGUCUUAACCAUUAGCACAUCCUGUACUGGAUCAAUGUCAUGGCUCUUCUUUUUUGGUGGGGGGGGGGUAUAGUUUUGCUGGCACAGAGCUGGGGAGUUUUGUUUUACGAUCCCCAGUGUCGUUCUGAAAAGGACGGAAGGAAAUAUACAAAAAAGGCCUGACUGAGACUGAAAAGUGAGUUGGUUCGGACGAAAACGAGGCGGCGAGGGGGACGUUCUGUUUCAGUUCAGAGGGAUUGGAGAGUGGGAACAGUCCGGGGCCAAAGGGAGUGUGAGCAGAGCAUGUUGAGCUUCUGAUACAUACCUUUGUUAGGUCCAGGAUGGGACUUGAGGGGUGCAUUAGUUGGGGUUGGGCCUUUUUGCUCUGCUCACGGCCUGGGCAUACAUUACUGUUCGAAAGUUUUUGGGGUCACAAAAAAAAAAGUGAGUUGGUUAGGAUGAAAACAAGGCAGCGAGGGUGAUGUUCUGUUUCAGUUCAGAGGGAUUGGAGAGUAGGAACAGCCUGGGUAACGGCCUGGGUAACGGCCUGGGUAACGGCCUGGGUAACGGCCUGGGUAACGGCCUGGGUAACGGCCUGGGGUAACGGCCUGGGGUAACAGCCUGGGGUAACAGCCUGGGGUAACAGCCUGGGGUAACAGCCUGGGGUAACAGCCCGGGGUAACAGCCCGGGGUAACAGCCCGGGGCCAAAGGGAGUCAUCCAGAACGGUUGUAAAUGUGGGCACGUCCAUAACACGUGAACCAAGGUGCCUCUGUCCAGGAUGCAUCCCCAGCAGUCAGGGGAGGCCAGUAGAACCCGUGGAUGGUUGUCACGGAGAUAGCCUUGACCGCAGCUCUCUUGCAACGGUCUUCGUGUCUUAUUGGACCUCAGUAUGUUUUGCCAUUCUGGUUCGAUUCCAGCCUGUAUCACAGCGGUCUAAGGCACUGCAUCUCAGUGCUUGAGGAGUCACUACAGACACCCUGGUUCGAUUCCAGGCUGUAUCACAACUGGCUGUGAUUGAGAGUCCCAUAGGGCGGCGCACAAUUGGCCCAGCGUCGUCUGGGUUUGGCCGGGGUAGGCCGUCAUUGUAAAUAAGAAUUUGUUCUUCACUGACUUGCCUAGUUAAAUAAAGAUUAAAUAAAGUAUUUUCCCAUGCAAUCUGAUUGGAGACUUAAGGUUGAGUAGAGUAUAUUAUAAUAUGAGACCUUGUCUCUUUUCCCAUAGUGUUCAAUUAUCUUCAUAGGGAUAUCUGAUGAAACGGGUUGUCCAGACCCCAGGGAUAUCUGAUGAAACGGGUGGUCCAGACACCAGGGAUAUCUGAUGAAAUGGGUGGUCCAGACCCCAGGGAUAUCUGAUGAAACGGGUGGUGUAGACCCCAGGGCAUAGCAUGUGCCUUUAGCUGUAGGUGUUUCCAGAAGUACAGUGUCUCUGUGUGGACCGUAGCAGGGUUGAAGUUUUAUCUUAAAUCAGCCCAAAAAAAUCUGCCAAUUUCAAAAAGUUCUGUGAAACAGUAUUACAUGUAGAUUUUAAAAGUAAAAAUCUAAAAUCAAGAUGUCAAUUGUUUGUCUACAUGCAAUGUAAAAAAUAAUGUAGCUAUUGGAGUAAAGCUAUGAGUUAGGGCCAACAUCCAAAACCUUUUUCCCCUCAGGAGACUGAAAAGAUGUGGUUCUCAGAUCCUCAAAAGGUUUUACAGCUGCACCAUCGAGAGCAUCCUGACGGGUUGCAUCACUGCCUGGUACGGCAACUGCUCGGCCUCCGACUGCAAGGCACUACAGAGGGCAGUGCGUACGGCCCAGUACAUCACCGGGGCCAAGCUUCGUGCCAUCCAGGACCUCUAUACCAGGCGGUGUCAGAGGAAGGCCCUAAAAAAUUGUCAAAGACUCCAGCCACCCAAGUCAUAAACUUUUCUCUGUUCUCCGUUUGUCCAAGAGGCUUCAAAACAGCUUCUACCCUCAAGCCACAAGACUCCUGAACAGCUAAUCAAAUGGCUACCCAGACUAUUUGUACCCCCCCCCCCCCUGCUGCUACUCUCUGUUAUUAUUUAUGCAUAGCCACUUCAAUAUCCCUAUCUGCAUGUACAUAAUUACCUCAAUUACCUCGCUCCUGUGGCCCCUGCACAUUGACACAUUUGACUCAUUGACUGAACUGGUACCCCCUGUAUAUAGCCCCGCUAUUGUUUUUUACUGCUGCUCUUUAAUUAUUUGUUUUUCUUAAAACUGCAUUGUUGGUUAAGGGGCUUGUAAGUAAGCAUUUCACUGUGAGGUGUACACCUGUUUCAUUCAGCACGUGUGACUAAUAAAGUUAUAUUUGAUUUGAA